CGGGUUCCUCCCAUAAGCUUAGGUGAACAAGGGAAGCUGGGAAAUUCUGAUUGCCCCAUUCUGAGAUGGGCUUUUUCAACCCCCCUAUAUCAAGAUAACACAAAUCUUUCUGACGGUAAACUGCAUUCUCGAUUGAUCGAUUGUUUGUUUGUUUGUGUACUCAUCAGUGCCAGACGCCCAAACUUAGUGCUUCCUGCUGCGCUGAUUGAUGUAGCUUCUUUGGCUAGGAAGAACCCAUCGGCACUUUCACGUCCGUUGGGGAAUCAUUGCAUCUGUUUGAGGAAUAAAACUACUAGGCAAUGCAAAAGAUGGCACUUGGAGGGGCCAUCUAAAAUCUAAAGGCUAAAACUCACAGACAUCAAGAUUGACAUUAAAAGAGUCUUUAAUAAGAAAACCAUGGUUGCUGGUAUAGAUGUGAAGAACAAGUGAAAGAACAGUUCUAAGGGAAGAAAGAUUAUCUUCUAAUUUUUAUGUUCUUGAAAAAAAGGGUACAACUUGAACUUAUUAUUAGUUAAAAAAGUGUGUUAUUUACAUGUCGGU